UGACGAGCAUCUGACGUCGAGUAAUGUUUCUGAGCAGGAGAAGAACUGGGAACAAAAAUAUCGGCAAAUUUACUUUAUAAACGACUGGACCUUUUGCUUGCGUCUCUGAGACUAUAGUGACAUCGACUAGGAACAGAUAUAUUGCGAGUGAAGGUUAUCCCCGGGCGCCAGGAAGUUACACUAUGCAGAAAACAACAUUGAUAUCAUACAGUUUUAUAGGACUGCUAGUUAUUGUACAAAUGGCGGCCAGCAAGGCGCUCUUCGAAUAUGCGUGUGACCCCCGAUCGUCAGACGUCACGUGUUUGCUAGGGUGUCUUGGCUGUUACGAAGCAUAUGGUGGUCACAUGUACAACAUGGCGGCCUGUUGCCAGGAGUGCAAGGACACACAACUACCACUUAUAGAUGACGGUCCUGCAAAAUGCUCGCACAGGUUUAUUAAGGGAUCAUGGAUGCGACGCUUCGGAAAAUGACACAAGUUACCGACAUAGUCUUACUGGCAGUAUUUCUUAUAGAAGUUAUAUUCUUGAAUUAGCAAUAGCAAGAUCUCGCUGUAUUGUUAUCAUAUAGUUUUUAAUCGUAAUGAAUGCGACUUGUGCGUGAAAACCAUGAUUACCCCCGAAACCCCUUGAUUCAAUUGAUUAAUAAAAUUAAGUGUGUUGCAAACACAAAUUCAUACUUAAAAAAAUGUGAAACUGUUAUUUGGUAUGAGCAUUCAAACAGAGAACAAUCUCUAAAAUAACACAAUACCAAUUAACAUUUUUAAGCAAUAAGAUAUAAUUUCUUACUUGCCUAUAUCUCUGUAGUAAAGUUUAAUCAGAAUGAACAUUCUAACAAGCGAUUGUAAAUUUCUUUGUAAAAAGAAAUUAAAUACUUAAACACUC